rnacentral:lncRNA from 12 species
GGUAGCGUGUCAUGUGCUUGCUGGGCAGAUCCUCUCCUGGUCCUGGACCCUGCAUGCUGGAGGUUUAUCGGUGAACUUUCAAGAUUUCACAUCCUGUCCAUAAAAUUUUUGCAGCAGCAAGGUAACAACAGUGCAUACAGAUUAUUGACUUUUUGUUACUACAAAUAUUUAAUUGGCUU